rnacentral:piRNA from 1 species
UGAAUUGAUCCUGGUCGCUUGAUAGUAGU